AACAUCGCGCACCUGCGGGAACCUGCGGAAGGAUCAUUACCGAGUGAGGGCCCUCCGGGUCCAACCUCCCACCCGUGUUUAACGAACCUUGUUGCUUCGGCGGGCCCGCCUCACGGCCGCCGGGGGGCACCCCGCCCCCGGGCCCGCGCCCGCCGAAGACACCUGUGAACGCUGUCUGAAGUUGCAGUCUGAGACACUAGCUCAAUCAGUUAAAACUUUUAACAACGGAUCUCAGAUCGG
rnacentral:misc_RNA from 1 species